CCUACGGGAGGCAGCAGUGAGGAAUAUUGGUCAAUGGGCGAGAGCCUGAACCAGCCAAGUCGCGUGAGGGAGUACUGCCCUAUGGGUUGUAAACCUCUUUUGUCGGGGAGCAAAAGCCGGACGUGUACGGCUGUGAGAUUACCCGAAGAAAAAGCAUCGGCUAACUCCGGGCCAGCAGCCGCGGUAAUACGGAGGCUGCGGGCGUUAUCCGGAUUUAUUGGGUUUAAGGGGUGCGGAGGCGGAUUUUUAAUUCAGCGGGAAAAUCGUGGGGCUAAACCCCAUCCAGCCGUUGAAACUGGGGAUCUAGAGUGUGCGAGAGGUAUGCGGAAUGCGUGGUGUAGCGGUGAAAUGCAUAGAUAUCACGCAGAACCCCGAUUGCGAAGGCAGCAUACCGGUGCACAACUGACGCUCAGGCACGAAAGCGUGGGUAUCGAACAGGAUUAGAUACCCUAGUAGUC
rnacentral:rRNA from 1 species